AUACGGAGGGUCCAAGCGUUAUCCGGAUUCAUUGGGUUUAAAGGGUCCGCAGGCGGGAAAAUAAGUCAGUGGUGAAAGCCUACAGCUCAACUGUAGAGCUGCCAUUGAUACUGUUUUUCUUGAGUAUAGAUGAAGUGGGCGGAAUAUAUCAUGUAGCGGUGAAAUGCAUAGAUAUGAUAUAGAACACCGAUUGCGAAGGCAGCUCACUAAAUUAUUACUGACGCUCAGGGACGAAAGCGUGGGGAGCGAACAGGAUUAGAAACCCUAGUAGUCC
rnacentral:rRNA from 1 species